rnacentral:rRNA from 1 species
GCAAGUCGAGCGCGCCCUUCGGGGUGAGCGGCGGACGGGUGAGUAACGCGUGGGAACAUACCCUUCUCUACGGAAUAGCCAUUGGAAACGAUGAGUAAUACCGUAUACGCCCUUCGGGGGAAAGAUUUAUCGGAGAUGGAUUGGCCCGCGUUAGAUUAGGUAGUUGGUGGGGUAAUGGCCUACCAAGCCUACGAUCUAUAGCUGGUUUGAGAGGAUGAUC